UUGAACGCUGGCGGCAUGCUUUACACAUGCAAGUCGAACGGGCUGGGGGCAACUCCAGUCAGUGGCGAACGGGUGAGUAAUGCAUCGGAACGUACCCCGUAGUGGGGGAUAACGCCGCGAAAGCGGCGCUAAUACCGCAUAUGCUCUACGGAGGAAAGCAGGGGACCGCAAGGCCUUGUGCUAUGGGAGCGGCCGAUGUCCGAUUAGCUUGUUGGUGGGGUAAAGGCCUACCAAGGCGACGAUCGGUAGCUGGUCUGAGAGGAUGAUCAGCCACACUGGGACUGAGACACGGCCCAGACUCCUACGGGAGGCAGCAGUGGGGAAUUUUGGACAAUGGGGGCAACCCUGAUCCAGCCAUGCCGCGUGCGGGAAGAAGGCCUUCGGGUUGUAAACCGCUUUUAGUCGGAAAGAAAAGGCCAUCCCUAAUACGGAUGGUUCUUGACGGUACCGGCGGAAUAAGCACCGGCUAACUACGU
rnacentral:rRNA from 1 species